UCCACCACAAAGGCUCCUAAUCUAAUGCACACCAUCACCACUAAGGCACACACGGAUACGACAAUUAAUGCACAAAAUCACCACUAAGGCACACACAUACACAACUAAUGCACACAAUCACCACUAAGGCACACACUCCAAUACUCUCCCAACAUAACACUUAUCAAUUCACAAAAUAAUAAUAUAAUCAUAACCGUAACCUAUCACCCGAUUAAAGGCUAGGAACCCGGUUUGACUAUUUAACAACAAUUCAAUAUAAAAAUAUCAUCAACAACAUCACAAGAGCACUUUAUAAAUUAUAUCUUUCCACUUAGAUAUAUUUAUAUAAACAAAGACAUAGAUAUUCCCACUAGAAAAUCUAUCAACAAACAUAUUUCAACAUCACCAUAUCACAUGAUCGAAAGUCCUUUUGAAAUAUUUAUUUUUAACAGAAAACUUGUUUUCACUUACCAUGAGCCGUUGACGAUCAAGCUCAUUUAUUUUUAAAAACAAAGUCAUUUUCCUUCAAGGACAAUUUCACAAUUAAUAAAACAAAAUUAUAAAGUAAAUUCGGUUCUUUAAGAACCCAUGUGAGAUUUACUCACAAUAUAAAAAUAGCAUCAUAAUCAUCAAACAAAACCAUUACCAUCGUCAUCAUAAUAAUUAUCAUCAUCAUCAUCCUCAAAAACAACAUCACAAUCAUCAUCAUAAUCAUCUCCAAAAUCAACAUUAUAAUAAUUAUAAUGAUUGGUCCGAAAGUGGACCUUAGUGAGAUGUUACUCACCUCAAAUCCAGCUGCGUCUUCGCACGCACAACUCAAGCAUAUCACACAAAACCACACCACAAGUCACCUAUUAACAAAACGUUAACCUUAGUAACUAAGAAAGCAACAUUAUCCGACUCAAACCGAAACUCAAGUCCUAAUCCACGAGCUUAUCACUCGAGACAAAUCCUCCACCUUGACCUCUAAAAGGUCGCUGAAACGUCCUACACAUCCUAUAGAACUACUAACCAGAAUCUCAUGUUCGGAUUACUAC
rnacentral:lncRNA from 1 species